rnacentral:rRNA from 1 species
GAUGAACGCUGGCGGCGUGCCUAAUACAUGCAAGUCGAGCGAACAGAUGAGGAGCUUGCUCCUCUGACGUUAGCGGCGGACGGGUGAGUAACACGUGGAUAACCUACCUAUAAGACUGGGAUAACUUCGGGAAACCGGAGCUAAUACCGGAUAAUAUAUUGAACCGCAUGGUUCAAUAGUGAAGGACGGUUUUGCUGUCACUUAUAGAUGGAUCCGCGCCGCAUUAGCUAGUUGGUAAGGUAACGGCUUACCAAGGCAACGAUGCGUAGCCGACCUGAGAGGGUGAUCGGCCACACUGGAACUGAGACACGGUCCAGACUCCUACGGGAGGCAGCAGUAGGGAAUCUUCCGCAAUGGGCGAAAGCCUGACGGAGCAACGCCGCGUGAGUGAUGAAGGUCUUCGGAUCGUAAAACUCUGUUAUUAGGGAAGAACAAAUGUGUAAGUAACUAUGCACGUCUUGACGGUACCUAAUCAGAAAGCCACGGCUAACUACGUG